ACCUACGGGGGGCAGCAGUAGGGAAUCUUCCACAAUGGGCGAAAGCCUGAUGGAGCAACGCCGCGUGGGUGAAGAAGGUCUUCGGAUCGUAAAACCCUGUUGUUAGGGAAGAAAGUGCGUGAGAGUAACUGUUCACGUUUCGACGGUAUCUAACCAGAAAGCCACGGCUAACUACGUGCCAGCAGCCGCGGUAAUACGUAGGUGGUAAGCGUUAUCCGGAAUUAUUGGGCGUAAAGGGAACGCAGGCGGACUUUUAAGACUGAUGGUAAAGCCUUCGGCUUAACCGGAGUAGUGCAUUGGAAACU
rnacentral:rRNA from 1 species